GGGGAUGUAGCUCAGUGGAACAGCACUUGCCUACUAUGUGUGAGGCCCUGAGUUCUAUCCCCAGCAUUUUUU
rnacentral:tRNA from 1 species